rnacentral:rRNA from 1 species
AGGAUAAACGCUGGCGGCGUGCCUAACACAUGCAAGUCGAACGCCCUACGCAAGUAGGGAGUGGCGGACGGGUGAGGAACACGUGGGUUAUCUGCCUUUCGGUGAGGAAUACCAGCGAGAAAUCGCUGACAAUACCGCAUACGGUUCUUUCGAGAGGAAGAACGAAAGUCGUAAGACGCCGGGAGAUGAGCCUGCGCCCGAUUAGUUUGUUGGUGGGGUAAAAGCCUACCAAGACUGCAAUCGGUAGCUGGUCUGAGAGGACGAUCAGCCACACUGGGAUUGAGAACGGCCCAGACUCCUACGGGGGGCAGCAGUGAGGAAUUUUCGUCAAUGGGGGAAACCCUGAACGAGCAACGCCGCGUGCAGGAAGAAGGUUUUCGGAUCGUAAACUGCUUUUCUGUGGGAAGAGAACGGACGGUACCACAGGAAGAACGCCCCGGCUAACUACGUGCCAGCAGCCGC